UAUUGCUCUUCAACGAGGAAUCCCUAGUAAGUACAAGUCACUAGCUUGUGCUGAUUACGUCCCUGCCCUUUGUACACACCGCCCGUCGCUACUACCGAUUGAAUGGCUUAGUGAGGCCCUCGGACUGGGGCUCAGAGACUGGAAACAGACUCUUGGUUUUAAAAAGUUGGUCAAACUUGGUCAUUUAGAGGAAGUAAAAGUCGUAACAAGGUUUCCGUAGGUGAACCUGCGGAAGGAUCAUUACCGAUUUUAGCGAACCUGACCUUUGGUUAUGGUCUCGCGAAAACUUUAUAUUUAAAACCCCACUCAUAAAAAAAAAAAAUUUUUUCAUAUAAAUAAAUAAAGAUCACUUUCAACAACGGAUCUCUUGGCUCUCGCAUCGAUGAAGAACGUAGCGAAGUGCGAUAAGUAAUGUGAAUUGCAAAUUCUGUGAAUCAUCGAGUCUUUGAACGCAAAUUGCACUCUCUUCGGAGAGUAUGCCUGUUUGAGGGUCAGUAUUAAUAAAAAUCGGCGUGUUGCUCUUUUGUGGUGCUCCGGAGUUUGGGUCAUCUUAUAACAAUACCUUUCAGGUGUUUUUAAGAGGCUUAAAAUUGACAUCUUUUUUGCGCAUUUUUUGACGUACAUAAAUUUUUUUAUUCGUUUAUUCUAAUGCCAAAAUCUAUUAGAUGCGACCAUAUCGUGUGGUUCCGUGUCUAUAAAUUUUUCAUGAUUUGACCUCAAAUCAGGUAGGAACACCCGCUGAACUUAAGCAUAUCAAUAAGCGGAGGAAAAGAAAAUAACAAUGAUUCCCCUAGUAACUGCGAGUGAAGAGGGACAAGCUCAAAUUUUAAAUCUGCUUGGUUAUACCUGUCAGAGUUGUAUUUUGAAGAAGCGUUUUCCGCGUCUCGGUUGACCCAAUUCCUUUGGGAUAAGGUAUCAUGGAGGGUGAGAAUCCCGUUCGGUUGACCUUAUGACGCUUUACGAUACGUUUUCAAAGAGUCGAGUUGUUUGGGAUUGCAGCUCAAAAUGGGAGGUAAAUUUCUCCUAAGGCUAAAUAUUGGCGAGAGACCGAUAGCGAACAAGUACCGUGAGGGAAAGAUGAAAAGAACUUUGAAAAGAGAGUAAAAUAGUACGUGAAAUUGUUGAAAGGGAAACGAUUGAAGUCAGUCGUACCGACGAGAAAUCAGCUCUUUGAGUUGUGAACAUGUGGGCGUGCGUGAGCUUUACGGUCUCGCUGUUUGCAAUGUUUGUGCUUUUUGGGUGUACCUUUUCGUAUGGUAGGCCGACAUCAGUUUCGAAUACCAUAAAAUGACCGGCGGAAUGUAGCUUCGAUCUCGUAUUGAAGUGUUAUAGCCUCUGGUAUAUGUGGUGUUUGGGACUGAGGAUUGCAACGAAUAUCCUUUGGGCUAUCCGUCUGAUCUCUGAAAGUUGCUUAGGUGCCGAAAGCAUGCUUACGGUUAUUUAAGUUGACGGUCAAAAGGUUAGAACGUGAUUACAUUCGUUAAGGAUGUUGGCGUAAUGGCUUUAAACGACCCGUCUUGAAACACGGACCAAGGAGUCUAACAUAUAUGCGAGUGUUA
rnacentral:rRNA from 1 species